rnacentral:rRNA from 1 species
GACGAACGCUGGCGGCGUGCUUAACACAUGCAAGUCGAACGGAAAGGCCUCUUUCGGGGGGUACUCGAGUGGCGAACGGGUGAGUAACACGUGAGUAACCUGCCCUUGACUUUGGGAUAACUUCAGGAAACUGGGGCUAAUACCGGAUAGGAGCUCCUGCUGCAUGGUGGGGGUUGGAAAGUUUCGGCGGUUGGGGAUGGACUCGCGGCUUAUCAGCUUGUUGGUGGGGUAGUGGCUUACCAGGGCUUUGACGGGUAGCCGGCCUGAGAGGGUGACCGGCCCCAUUGGGACUGAGAUACGGCCCAGACUCCUACGGGAGGCAGCAGUGGGGAAUAUUGCACAAUGGGUGGAAGCCUGAUGCAGCAACGCCGUGUGCGGGAUGACGGCCUUCGGGUUGUAAACCGCUUUCGCUCAUGACGAAGCUUUGUGUGACGGUAGUGGGUAAAGAAGCACCGGCUAACUACGUG